AGUCAUGCCCAGCCUUCCUGUGGGGAAAACAACCUGUUGGCUCACAGUAAAAACUUCACCCUUUUUCAAACGCAAUUUUCUUUUUGUUUUAGUCAAUUACACAACGACAUCUAAGAAAAGGGCAACAUUGCCUGCUCCCUAGCGUUCUCACCACUUAGAAAAACCCUCAAGCUCUUUUUCAUGACGGUGCCAGCAGCCAGCCAGUGAGUGAGAGGGAGGGGCACCAACGUUGUGUGUGAAGAGGAAUCAUUGUCUGGAGAGGAAUGCCGCUGAAACCUGUUCCCGGCCAAACACGGUGUGGUGAGGCAUCCAGGGUUCUACUCAGAUUAGAGAGAGAGCCAUAUCACUGGACACACCCUGUGUCCUGCCCUCAGAUGGUAUCACACACAUACACAUACACACACACACUUAUCCUGCUUCCUAUUCUAUUUAUUUUUUUAAGUGUAUUUAAAAAAAAUAAAAAUAAAAUGAAUUGAACUUUUAUUUAACUAGGCAAGUCAGUUAAGAACAAAUUCUUAUUUACAAUGACGGCCUACACCGGCCAAACCCGGACGACGCUGGGCCAAUUGUGCUGGAUUGCAAAAAGGCAAAAAUUUGGUGUCGUCCUAUUCUUUAACUUAGAUUUUAGUCGUAUUCUUUUCAAAGUUAAAAGAAUACGACUAAAUGGAAUUCAAUCAAACUUUAAAUAAACUUUUAUUUUGAUUUAGUCCUAUUCUUUAAUUUAGAUUUUUGGUUGAGAUGGAGACAUGAAUCCAACAGAUCAAUUAUUCCCUGUAAGAUUACAUUUGAAAGCAACUAAAGCUUGAAAACGUACAGUACGCCUAUAUAUAUAUAUAUAUUAUAUUUUUGGUUGAACCCUCGGUUAAAUUGAAACAAUAGCUGUUGAUGACUUUGCCAGUCCUAUAUACUAAAUAGCAUCAUUGAUUAUAUAUUAAUUAUAAAGUAUGGUUAGAUUUCAUUAGCUCUGUUAAACCUACCCUUUGGAAUGACUUUGGUAGCAACAGUGAAUCUAUUUAGUCAUUAAUCAUUUUCACUACAUUGGUAGUAGUCAGUAACAAAUAUCAAAGCUAAGCAUGACUGGGCUUGGUUAAAACUCUUGAUGGGAAACCAAUUGCUAGCUGUAGAUAGAUCAACUCUCCAGUAGGAAGUACUACAGAGCAUUUUUUCUGAUAGUUGAAGAUCUGACAUUGUUUCAAAGUUACAAAUUCAUUUUUUUUUUAUUGUCUAUGUGUAGUUGCCUGUCAGCACUCGUGUCUUAUUUUUUGUCUUAUUGUCACGGUUGUUUGGUCUCCUCGCUAUGACGAACGUGACACACGGAUGCUAGGGAUGUUGCAAUCACAACCAAGUGAGAACCUAAGGGAAGGGUGAGGGAGGCAGGAUGACAAGAUAGAAGGGCAGGACUUCUACAGAAAUUAUUAUUCAAUGUUUUUCCGUAUGUACGUACGGUCACUGUGGUGACAACGUCGUUGAUGUACUUAUUAGUGGUAAACUCCUCAAUGCCGUUGGAUAAAUCCCAGAACAUCUUCCAGUCUAUGCUAGAAAAACAGUCCUGUAACUUAGCAUCCACUUCAUCGGACCACUUCCGUAUUGAGCGUGUCACUGGUACUUCCUGUUCCAUUUAUUACUUUCUAAGCAGGGAUCAGGAAGAUAUAUUUAUGGUUAGAUUUGUCAAAUGGAGGGCAAGGAAGAGCUUUGUAUGUGUCUCUGUGUGUGGAGUUAUUUUUUGCACGUGACAUGCUGGUAGAAAUGAGGUAAACCAGAUUUGUUGUUAAUAAAGAGAUAGACAUCCCUACCUAUUAGCUUACCCGACGCAGCCAUUCUGUCCUGCUGAUGUAUAGAAAAACAGCUCGAUUUAUAUUAUCCAUGUCCUUAUUCAGCCACGACUCGGAGAAACAUAGGAUAUUACGGUUUCAGAUCACAUUGAUAGUAUAGCUCGAACUGAGUUUAUUUUCCAGUGAUUGCACCUCUGCCAAUAGAACGGAGGGUAGAGGCGACUUAUCCACUCUCUCUGAAUUAGUCUCGUCAGGUAUCCUGCACGCCGGCCUGUCUAGCACUGUCUCCUACUUUAGUGUUGGGGAUUUGGACCUGGUACGUGAUAAUCAAUAUGUCUUUUAGACUCCUGCUAAUUGACGUAGAAGUCCUUGUCCAAAUGGAAGUUAGUGAUAGUUGUUCUGAUGUCCAAAAGCGCUUUUUGGUCAUAGAAAAUGUAGUUUUGAUUUUAAGCUUCAAAACAUCUUGCUCAGCUAACAACUACAUGUUUGUUUUUUACUUUAUAAAUUCUAAUUAUAUUUUCGAGGCUCCACAUGUUGUCAUGGAAAACAACCAAUGAGCAACUCCACCAUAAAUCCAGCACAUAUUGAACAUUGAGAUUGCCUAAAGGGAAAGUUUUCCCAAAAGGGAACGCCUACUCUGUGAAGUGCAUGUGCAAUAACUCAAUUUGUCCUUGCACUCCUUCUAAACAAUUCAAUUAAAAAAAACUUUUGCAAGGAGUAAAGUCUACAAAAUACAGUCCAUUCUGUUUGUUCCAGAUUAUAGUUUUGGAAAAUCUAAGGUAGAUCAAAUGUUUCAUUGAUGUGCAAAAGGUCGGCCAAAAUCCAUCUCGCUCCAUUUUCUCCCAGACUCCCACUGCCGGCCACUGGGCUUCCUUUCAUCACUGACCAAGACGCACCUCCAACAACCUCACAGAAUUAUUCCCCAAAACAAUUACAGAUUCUCUCAACCAGUGGCAUAUGUUACGUUGGCCCAGAAGAACCCAUCGGAUGUCGCUGCCACCGAUAGUUGGCAAAAUGCCCAUAAAAUGUCCAUCGAGUAAAAAUGACUUUUUCAUGGAAAUUGAAAUUUGUUAUGAAUCAGAUACUUUGAACCAUUUACUUAGUAUGUGUUCACAAGUCUUAAAUUAGUCAAUUUAGUUUUUACACUGUUCACGUUCGGUGCCUGGCUAGCCAACUGACAGCUCCCGCAUUGGCUUAGGCUCGUAGUGGGUUCCUUGAAUUAUUUAUAGUACAACUAGGCUAUGUAUCAACAGAUCAGAGCGCAGAUUGAUUCUAAUUUUCCAUAUCAUUAUAGUGUUGAUGCGGAUGCAGGGAGUUUAUCCGAGAUUGCUUUCCUAGCCUAACUGAAAGCUAAAUCCAUUCAGAUGGCCCAAAUAAAAUGGAGUUGACAGUGAUCAAAAGACAAACAGUGAUGAAUAUUUUGUACCCUACUUCAUGUUAAACGAUAGCCUACCCUAUUGUUAAAACAUUAGAAGUGAGAGACAGGUCAGUCACCCUGUCCUAAUUCACAUGAAAUGAACCUUGUAUUUGACUGCACCCUCCCAAUGAUUCAAGCAAAGGCAGUGGAUUAUAUGAAGUCCUUUAUCUCUGUUAAACUAUAAUCUAUAAAUCUUUGAAAUGAAAAGAAAUCACGGAGAAACUGCCCGCAUCCGCACCUUGUGAAGAUGGUUAAAGUAUUCAGGUGCACAUCCCACUCUACGUCACCCCCUCCCCCGCGCUUCCCGCUGUGUCCGAAAUGAGGACGUCAACUUCAAAAAUUGACAGCUGUCAAUCAUCAGGAUGGCACCUUUUUCAGGUAGUGAAGUUGCUCAUUGAAGUUGCUAAUUAGAUCUAAUUAAUAUGAGAAUUGUUGAUAGUGGUUCUGAUUUGCCAGAAUUGAUAAAUGAUUAUUUUACGAGGGCCCUGCUGCUGCUGAAGAUGAUGAUGAGAGAGGAAGUCAAAGUGACAGUGAUGGCUCUUCUUCCCAAAAACGUUGUUUGACCAAUUCAGAUGAGGAAAACAAUCAGACGGAUGAUGAUAAAGAACAAGGUUAACAUACUGUGAGGGGUCAGGGUCUGUGAAGAACAAAGAGUUUGCAGACAGUGAAGUCACACAGCAAAGUCUGCUUAAAGAUGAAGAGUCUAUGCUAGAGAAAAAAAAAGUGAUUGUUCCAAAAGGACUGGAUACAAAAUGACCAUGGUAUCGCUAUGACAAGAUAAGGCCUUUCACCGCUGAAGAGUGUAGGGACAUCACCACCCCUUUCCCAUCAGUCCCUAAGCCUGGGAGGAGGGCUUACUGGGAACUGAAGAACUCAUCAGUUUUGCACACACCAACACGCACACACACACACACAAUAACAACUCAACUGAUUGGCUGAAAGAAAUGUUUUGUCAUACCCGUGGUAUACUGUUUGAUAUACCACAGGUAUGACAAAACAUGUAUUUUUACUGUUCUAAUUAUGCUGGUAACCAGUUUAUAAUAGCAAUAAGGCACCUCGGGGUUGCGUAACUUGCAUUGCGCCAAAGAAAAGCCCUUGGCCAUGUACCACACCUCCUCGUGCCUUAUUGCUUAAUUAUAUAAUCAUAGUGUAAUGAUUGUAUAAUUACAUAUGGCCUUUAAUAUAAUUAUUAUAGUUAAUUGUUUGUGAUCUUUUACACUGUAUCCAACUUUUAAAUGUAAACGGAUGUCAAAAAUAAAUAAAUAA